rnacentral:rRNA from 1 species
UCAUGCAGUCGACGAUGAUGCCCAGCUUGCUGGGUGGAUUAGUGGCGAACGGGUGAGUAACACGUGAGUAACCUGCCCCUGACUCUGGGAUAAGCGUUGGAAACGACGUCUAAUACUGGAUACGACUGCCGGCCGCAUGGUCUGGUGGUGGAAAGAUUUUUUGGUUGGGGAUGGACUCGCGGCCUAUCAGCUUGUUGGUGAGGUAAUGGCUCACCAAGGCGACGACGGGUAGCCGGCCUGAGAGGGUGACCGGCCACACUGGGACUGAGACACGGCCCAGACUCCUACGGGAGGCAGCAGUGGGGAAUAUUGCACAAUGGGCGAAAGCCUGAUGCAGCAACGCCGCGUGAGGGAUGACGGCCUUCGGGUUGUAAACCUCUUUUAGUAGGGAAGAAGCGAAAGUGACGGUACCUGCAGAAAAAGCACCGGCUAACUACGUGCCAGCAGCCGCGGUAAUACGUAGGGUGCAAGCGUUGUCCGGAAUUAUUGGGCGUAAAGAGCUCGUAGGCGGUUUGUCGCGUCUGCUGUGAAAUCCCGAGGCUCAACCUCGGGCUUGCAGUGGGUACGGGCAGACUAGAGUGCGGUAGGGGAGAUUGGAAUUCCUGGUGUAGCGGUGGAAUGCGCAGAUAUCAGGAGGAACACCGAUGGCGAAGGCAGAUCUCUGGGCCGUAACUGACGCUGAGGAGCGAAAGCAUGGGGAGCGAACAGGAUUAGAUACCCUGGUAGUCCAUGCCGUAAACGUUGGGCGCUAGAUGUAGGGACCUUUCCACGGUUUCUGUGUCGUAGCUAACGCAUUAAGCGCCCCGCCUGGGGAGUACGGCCGCAAGGCUAAAACUCAAAGGAAUUGACGGGGGCCCGCACAAGCGGCGGAGCAUGCGGAUUAAUUCGAUGCAACGCGAAGAACCUUACCAAGGCUUGACAUACACCGGAAACGGCCAGAGAUGGUCGCCCCCUUGUGGUCGGUGUACAGGUGGUGCAUGGUUGUCGUCAGCUCGUGUCGUGAGAUGUUGGGUUAAGUCCCGCAACGAGCGCAACCCUCGUUCUAUGUUGCCAGCGGGUUAUGCCGGGGACUCAUAGGAGACUGCCGGGGUCACUCGGAGGAAGGUGGGGAUGACGUC